GCAAUUAAUCAUCUAAAACUACUGUUUACACAUAAUCAACAAACUAUUAUCUAUGACAGAUUUCUGAGGCUCUACUCAAAAUUGUCUCAAAAAAUUCUAGGAAGCAUUACUGGUACCAUUUUUUCCACAUCACAAUGACAUUAAGUCUAGUUUCAUUUCUAAUUGGUCUUGUGCCAUUUGAAAAAGUGAACAAGGAGGACUAAAUAAAACAUUGUAGAUACGUCAAUCUGUCAGGUCAAUUGACCAUGAAAAUAUAAUACUCAAUUUUACUUCCAAAGCAGCAGAAUUAGGCCUUCCACAAAAUAAAUAGUUUUAGAGGACGGAUCAAAGUUUCUAUAGGUUCAGAUUUCGCCUCAUUCGGAGUUGUGGAACUCUAGAUAAUGCUCAAACAAGUGGACUGUCACACAGGGGACAGAAUUCCGAAAUUCCAAUCAAAUUCACACUUCGAAGGACCAACCUAAAGUUCACAUAAUUUGGCAUAGCACCAAUCUAACAUCUCAUGCCACAAUACAAAAAUUAAGCCAUAAACAUAAAAUCAAACACAGCACAAUCAAUAAUCAUCAUCUAAAGUAAUCAAAGCCCUUACACACUUCAUGCAACUAAAUAAAAUUAAAGAAUAGUUACUAACCUAAUCAUGGAGAUAGUAACAAAAUAAGAAAAUUAAGAAGUUAUAAUUAGCCUAAGAAUCAUUCUCAAACAAUGUAACCCUUGGAAACUCAUCAUCAGUUCAAAAUUUCCAUCUGAAUCAGAGUAAAAAAGAAGAAAUCAUCACAGCCAUGACAAGAAUGCAUUAAAAAAUAUGAUUCCUAAACUGCAUCAUUGCGUAGCAAUAAUAUUUAACAACGCCUGCAAGUGUCAACUCUUCAUAUAGAAAUUCAUUGCUUACU
rnacentral:lncRNA from 1 species